UAAAUAAAUAAAUAAAAUAAAGCACCAAUGCUAAAGCUUAAUUAAUUGUCUAGAAGAUAUUUUCUAUGGACUUGCUGAAUUCUGGGGUAAUUUUAUCCUCAAAAAAUUGUAUUGUUGGCCCAAACUUGAGAGUUGGAAAUUCUGAAGUUAACUCCAGUACCAUAAAUAUCAACAAAGAUGGCAGUGAAACAUGGCAAGAAUUUAAAGAAUGUGGAUAGAAUUAAUUUGCUACGGCAUUAGAAGGUCAGUUACUCUAAAAGUUGAUAAUUAUUUAUCAAUCUUACUAUUAAAAGCUUAACUAUAUAAAAAACUUACAUUUUUUGCUGCUGUACUAAAG
rnacentral:misc_RNA from 1 species